rnacentral:rRNA from 1 species
UACAGAGGGUGCAAGCGUUAAUCGGAUUUACUGGGCGUAAAGCGUGCGCAGGCGGUGAUGUAAGACAGGGGGGAAAUCCCCGGGCUUAACCUGGGAACUGCAUUUGUGACUGCAUCGCUGGAGUGCGGCAGAGGGGGAUGGAAUUCCGCGUGUAGCAGUGAAAUGCGUAGAUAUGCGGAGGAACACCGAUGGCGAAGGCAAUCCCCUGGGCCUGCACUGACGCUCAUGCACGAAAGCGUGGGGAGCAAACAGG